rnacentral:tRNA from 1 species
UAUAUUUUAGUAUAUGAUGUACUAUAAUUUUUGAAAUUAUAAGAAAUAGUUUAAUUCUAUUAAAUAUAA